ensembl:lncRNA
GUAUAAUAGUAACAUAGUACAUUUUUAGGAAUGUUGUAACAAUAAACAUCACCAUUCUAUAGCACUAAAAUAUUGAAUGAUACAUGGUGCAGCCAUUUACCAAAUACAUCUAUAAAGAACUUAGUACUAUUAAGUACUAAUAUUGUACUUAAUAAAGCACUAAUAGCGAUCAAACUGGAAUUGUGAGAAGGUAAUCUAGGUCUUUAACUUCCUCACCUUUAUGGUUGUGGCGUGGGGUUCCAGGCUCCGAGUGGCACCUCCGGCGUGGCUGCAGUGUGAAGGAGCAGCGCUGGUCGUUGAGCCGACGGCCCUCUUGCAAAGCGCAAAGUAGCUCGUAGAGAGCGUCAGGAGAAUCUGGGGAUAAUCUGUGGACCUGGGGACACUUUUGCUGAGCAUCUUCAGGACUGAGUCGGUCCCUGGGUCGUAGUUUGGCAGAAGGCUGGCUAUCAGCAAGUGACUCUUCUUUAGGCACUGCUUUUGUCUUCAAUCCCUCCAUCUCUUCUUCUGCCUUCCCCAUCACUAAUCCAGGUCUGGUUUGGACUAUUUUCACUUCUGGGUUCUCCUCGGUUUCUGUCACUCCCUCGAUCUUUUGGUUUAUGUAUUCCAGCCCUUCCUUUUGCUGACUUUCCACUUCCACAUCGUUUUCAGAAUCUGUACUUCCCUCCGAACUUCCCUUAAUCAUGUCUUCCAUGUUUUCCUUCUUCACUCUUAGUACGCCUUUCCCUCUCGCAGAGAUAUGUGUGAAAUCGUCCAGCUCGUCCCCUUCCUCGAGGAUAACCAGUGGCUCCAGCUGUUCCUCCGCUGGGAUUUGACCUUUGACCUCUGCACAGUCCAUGUCAGAAUCCACUGCUAUGUCCUUCAGUCAUCCAGAGGAUAUGGGAACCCUAAGCUUAAGUUAUGAGAGUUUAGGGAGUUCUUAUUUUGAAAUACUUGACAGUUCAAUUAUAAUACAAGGCUGAGAUUUGUGUUAUUUGCGAAAUAUAAAUAUUUUUCAGAAAAUCGCCAAGUUGCUUCAUAAAAACAGAUCUAAUUUGUUUACUUCAUGAAGCACUGCUCUAGAUCAUACUCAAAUGUGCUAAGCUGACAGCAGGAAAAAAAAAAAAAAAACACAAAAAAACGUGACCAUUGCACAACCCUUUCGUAAUUCUUAACGCUACAAAAAGAGAGUAUACAAAGGCAAAUUCAGGAUGGUUGUUUAUUUAUUUAAUUUUCAUGAGAGGUAGUACAUAAUAGAAUCAUGAUAACUUCAUCUUAGCGCGAGUAAAUGAAAGAGUAAAACGAAAUGAAAGCCCCUGAAGGCCUCUUACCGUCUUCCAGACCCUGAAAUGUUGAAAUAAUGUCCUCUAGACUGUAUCUCGUGGGUAGCCCUCAUUGGCUUCGUCCUUUGCCGCCAAACGAAAAUAGACGCUUCAUAUUAAAUUCACACCUGCCAAGUUUUCCUUCCGAAAAAGAAUCGAAUUAGAUAGCUGAGCACUGAUGUGUUAGCAAGUUCUGAGUUUCGCACUCAGGCUGCUUUUUCUGACUUUCUUCCUCUUCCUUUCUCUACACCAACCCACCCCUACUGACUUGGUCAAUAACGUUUCAAAACGCUAGUAACCUGAGUCUCGUUGUUCCGUGAGAAAUAGCCGAAAGCAUUAGACCGGUAAUUAACGCAUAAGUUCAUCUAAGGCUUCAUAUGAGGCUUUCAGAAAGAACAUGAUGAUUUAUAAGCAUGGAGUCGGGGUUUGCGCAUACUUGACAGCACGCUUGCAAGUUGAAACUAGUUGCCUGCUUGCUCGACAAAAGCAAAAGAACCUGUGGUUUUGCAUACUUCC